GACGAACGCUGGCGACGCGCUUAACACAUGCAAGUCGAACGGAAAGGCCUGCUUUCCCUUGUGGAUUGCGGGUACUCGAGUGGCGAACGGGUGAGUAACACGUGAGUGAUCUGCCCCCAACUUGGGUAUAAGCCUGGGAAACUGGGUCUAAUUCCCGAUAGGACUGCAGGGUGGUGCCUGUGGUGGAAAACGAUUUUCUAGUGGUUGGGGAUGAGCUCGCGGCCUAUCAGCUUGUUGGUGGGGUAAUGGCCUACCAAGGCGGCGACGGGUAGCCGGCCUGAGAGGGUGGACGGCCACAUUGGGACUGAGAUACGGCCCAGACUCCUACGGGAGGCAGCAGUGGGGAAUAUUGCACAAUGGGCGGAAGCCUGAUGCAGCGACGCCGCGUGGGGGAUGACGGCCUUCGGGUUGUAAACUCCUUUCGACUGCGAGGAAGCCACCUGGUUGGAAGGGUGGUGACGGUAGUGGUAGAAGAAGCACCGGCUAACUACGU
rnacentral:rRNA from 1 species